rnacentral:rRNA from 1 species
GAUGAACGCUGGCGGCGUGCCUAAUACAUGCAAGUCGAGCGAACAGACGAGGAGCUUGCUCCUCUGACGUUAGCGGCGGACGGGUGAGUAACACGUGGAUGACCUACCUAUAAGACUGGGAUAACUUCGGGAAACCGGAGCUAAUACCGGAUAAUAUAUUGAACCGCAUGGUUCAAUAGUGAAAGACGGUUUUGCUGUCACUUAUAGAUGGAUCCGCGCCGCAUUAGCUAGUUGGUAAGGUAACGGCUUACCAAGGCAACGAUGCGUAGCCGACCUGAGAGGGUGAUCGGCCACACUGGAACUGAGACACGGUCCAGACUCCUACGGGAGGCAGCAGUAGGGAAUCUUCCGCAAUGGGCGAAAGCUUGACGGAGCAACGCCGCGUGAGUGAUGAAGGUCUUCGGAUCGUAAAACUCUGUUAUUAGGGAAGAACAAAUGUGUAAGUAACUAUGCACGUCUUGACGGUACCUAAUCAGAAAGCCACGGCUAACUACGUG